CCUACGGGGGGCAGCAGUCGAGAAUCAUUCACAAUGGGGGAAACCCUGAUGGUGCGACGCCGCGUGGGGGAAUGAAGGUCUUCGGAUUGUAAACCCCUGUCAUGUGGGAGCAAAUUAAAAAGAUAGUACCACAAGAGGAAGAGACGGCUAACUCUGUGCCAGCAGCCGCGGUAAUACAGAGGUCUCAAGCGUUGUUCGGAAUCACUGGGCGUAAAGCGUGCGUAGGCUGUUUCGUAAGUCGUGUGUGAAAGGCGCGGGCUCAACCCGCGGACGGCACAUGAUACUGGGAGACUAGAGUAAGGGAGGGGGAACCGGAAUUCUCGGUGUAGCAGUGAAAUGCGUAGAUAUCGAGAGGAACACUCGUGGCGAAGGCGGGUUCCUGGACAUUAACUGACGCUGAGGCACGAAGGCCAGGGGAGCGAAAGGGAUUAGAUACCCGGGUAGUC
rnacentral:rRNA from 1 species